rfam:Zostera marina strain Finnish scaffold_5, whole genome shotgun sequence.
UGGCGAUGAUGAUAAAUCCAUAGGCUUGUUUCUCAACAUUCGCAGGGCCGCCUAAGGGCUUUCGCCUCGCCGGGCUUGAGAGUCUGUGCUGUUUCGCUCCUUCCUUGGAUGUCUGAGAUU